rnacentral:lncRNA from 1 species
AAGAAACAGAAAGAGGCACAGGCUUUUUUGAGAAUACCCUAGGAUUUCUGCCUAGGGUUUGAAAAGUGAGAAAGUGAGCUAUGAGUGUCGUGAGCCCACCAGAUCUCAAGGAGAGAUUCAUCAACCUCUCAAGCACCUCUGCUGAUGAUCCAGAGCAUCCAAAGAGUCGACAGAUCAAGAUCGAAGGAGUUCGAUCAACAUCGACCGUCAAAAGAGUUCAGCCACG